UACGAAGGGUGCAAACGUUGCUCGGAAUUAUUGGGACGUAAAGCGCACGUAGGCGGCUUAGCAAGUCGGAAGUGAAAUCCCACGGCUCAACCAUGGAAGUGCUUUCGAAACUGCUGAGCUUGAGUACUUAAGAGGAUCGCGGAAUUCCCGGUGUAGAGGUGAAAUUCGUAGAUAUCGGGAGGAACACCAGUGGCGAAGGCGGCGAUCUGGGAAGAUACUGACGCUGAGGUGCGAAAGCGUGGGGAGCAAACAGG
rnacentral:rRNA from 1 species